UAAAACGACUCUCGGCAACGGAUAUCUUGGCUCUUGCAUCGAUGAAGAACGUAGCGAAAUGCGAUACGUGGUGUGAAUUGCAGAACCCGUGAACCAUCGAGUUUUUGAACGCAAGUUGCGCCCAAGCCUUUUGGUUGAGGGCAUGUCUGCCUGGG
rnacentral:rRNA from 1 species